GAUGAACGCUGGCGGCGUGCCUAAUACAUGCAAGUCGAGCGAACAGACGAGGAGCUUGCUCCUCUGACGUUAGCGGCGGACGGGUUAGUAACACGUGGAUAACCUACCUAUAAGACUGGGAUAACUUCGGGAAACCGGAGCUAAUACCGGAUAAUAUAUUGAACCGCAUGGUUCAAUAGUGAAAGACGGUUUUGCUGUCACUUAUAGAUGGAUCCGCGCCGCAUUAGCUAGUUGGUAAGGUAACGGCUUACCAAGGCAACGAUGCGUAGCCGACCUGAGAGGGUGAUCGGCCACACUGGAACUGAGACACGGUCCAGACUCCUACGGGAGGCAGCAGUAGGGAAUCUUCCGCAAUGGGCGAAAGCCUGACGGAGCAACGCCGCGUGAGUGAUGAAGGUCUUCGGAUCGUAAAACUCUGUUAUUAGGGAAGAACAAAUGUGUAAGUAACUAUGCACGUCUUGACGGUACCUAAUCAGAAAGCCACGGCUAACUACGUG
rnacentral:rRNA from 1 species